UGAACAUCUGAUCUGCAUGAAGUGAAGUCAGCAGGAUGUGUUUGUGUCAGACUUACAUCUGGAGUGAAGAGGAACUUGAUUCCGCUGACGGAGCCUUUGAGCGUCAGUCCUCUGAUCAGGAAGAUGGUCAGAACCAGAGUGACAGAGACAUGAGCUCAGGAAAAAGUGUAAACGUGAUGGAGAUGUACCUUCCCGGUGGUCUCGAUGCCCCUCAGACAGCAAACCCACAGCAGAGUCCAAGCGCAGAACAGACACAAAACAAUCCACCACUGCAGACCUCCAGAGUCCUCGAUCACAGGAGUCGUGUUCAGCGUCUUUCUGUACCAGAAAUAAUCCACUGGAGAGCUAUCCUCACAUUCAGACACAAACCCUGUUAACAGACACACACGACCAACUGCUCAGGUUACUAAAGAGCCACAUGAAGUAACGUCACAAUGAAUUGACAUGAAUGCUGGUGGUCUGUACCUGUCCGGUUUUCAUUGACGGGACACUGACUCCAGGGUAAAGGGUCCUGAAACGAGUUGAAGAAGUACCACAAGACCCAGGCGAUGAUCGUGUUGUAGUACAUCCCCACCAUGAAGGACACCAGCAUGGAGGCGAUGCCUACACCGACACUGCCUUUUCUGAGUCUCUGUCCGAUGGCAAACUCCAGAUGAAGCAGCGGGAUUCCCUCCAGAACCAGGAGAAUCAGAAACGGGAUCAUAAACGCUCCUGAAAAUGGAGAUACGGGAACCUCCAGACGUUCCCCAGCCCCACGCAGAAGCCCACGCAGGUCAGCAUGUACUGGGCUUUGUUGUCCCACUGGGGCCGCUCCCAGCCUCCUCCAGCUCCAGCUUCUCCAGCUCGGCGUGAGACGGGAUCCGCUCGUCCAGACCCGGGUUUGGGAGCUUCAGCUUCAUGUCUGCAGCGCUGGAUGACUGCGCUCUGCAGCUCUCUCACACCGGUGUGUAUCUGGAUCUGGAGUCGACGCUGGACGAGCAGAGAGAUGAACUCGAGGGAUUUCAGCCUGAAGACUGCACAGGGUGAGACG